rnacentral:rRNA from 1 species
UACAGAGGUCCCAAGCGUUGUUCGGAUUCACUGGGCGUAAAGGGUGCGUAGGUGGCCAGGUAAGUCUGGUGUGAAAUCUCGGAGCUCAACUCCGAAACUGCAUUGGAUACUAUCUGGCUGGAGGGUCGGAGGGGGGACUGGAAUUCUCGGUGUAGCAGUGAAAUGCGUAGAUAUCGAGAGGAACACCAGUGGCGAAGGCGAGUCCCUGGACGACUCCUGACACUGAGGCACGAAAGCUAGGGGAGCAAACAGG